ensembl:snoRNA small nucleolar RNA, C/D box 45B
GGUCAAUGAUGGAAUGGCAUGUAUUAGCUGAAUCACCAUUGAUGUGAAUUAUAAAAUUACACUGAGACCUU